rnacentral:lncRNA from 1 species
AACAUGUUAAAUGGUUACUCAAGAAACCAAAUGGAGUAAUAGCAGCAUGGUGUUACACUACACCUGAAAUAAACAGCUCAGUAGAUGCAAUAUUUGAUAAAUUUUACACUAGUGAUACUGGACCUUAUUGGGAAUCACCAAGAAAAUUGGUUGAUGAAAAGUAUAAAACUAUUGAUUUUCCAUUUGAGGCUGUAGAUGGUUGUGAUCACAAUGGACCAUUUGAGUUCAAGAUUGAGAAAGUUAUGGACUUGGAUUCUUAUUUUACAUACUUGAAGUCAUGGUCAGCUUAUCAAACUGCAAAAGAAAAGGGUGUUGAGUUGUUAAGUGAAGAUGUUAUUGAAAAGUUCACAAGUGCUUGGAAUGAAGAUGGAAAGAGUGAGAAAAAAGUGACUCAUCCAAUUUACUUGAGGAUUGGAAAAGUUGGAAAUUUGGAUUGAAAGUGUAAUCAAUACAAUUAGUUAUGUGCACUUGAUCAUCCAUUUAUUUUGUAUUUUCUCUUGGUUGUUAUGUAUCUUUUAAUAAUAAAAGCAUCUUAGUAUAAAUUAAUACAUCUACUUGCACAAUGCAUUUGCAAAAAUAACUACUCUUCCCCUUGCAUGCAUCAUUCAACAACAUCAAAUCUAAUCCUAGAAAGUGGGGUCUGGAAAGAGUAGAGUGUAUGUAGACCUUACUACAACAUUUAUGAGGUAGAGAUGUUGUUUUCAAAAGACCCUUGGCUGAAGCAAAUUAAAACAAUAAUUUAAAAAAAUGGUAGUGGAGAGAAGCAUGACAACUAGUAGCAAAGCAGUACGAAACAUAUAUGAAGGAACCAUAACAACAACAACAAAGGUGCGAUUAUCUAAACACAUAAUCAAUAGGUGAUAUCAAAUACCAAAAGUCAAAGACUACAUAAAUAGGCUAAUACUACGAUCACCACGAUGAUCUAUACUACCACUAAGCCAAAUAUAUGAGUAGGCUAGUAAUAAGACAUCUCUUAACUACCUACUAACCUUCUACCCUUAUCCGCGACCUCCAUAUUCUCAUAACUAAGGUCAUAUUCUUGGAAAGUUGUAGAUGUGUCAUAUCAUGUCUAAUCACUUCUCUUCAAUACUUCUUCCGCUUAUCUCUACCUCUCCUCGAUCCCACCAUAUUCAACCUCUCACACCUUCACACAACGGCAUCCGCACAUCUCCUCUUCACAUGCUUAAAUCAUCUCAGUCUCCCUUCCCUCGUCUUGUCCACCACAAAGGUCACUCCUACUUUGUCUCGAAUAUCUUGAUUCCUUUACCCUAUCGCUCAAAGAAUACCCAUACAUUCAUCUCAACAUCCUCAAUUUUCGCCACUUGCAUUUUAUGAACCUAGAGUUCUUGACUGGUACCUUCUUGUUACACAAAAUGCCGGAUGCAAGCUUCCACUUGCAUGCAAAAUUAUAGAUCUUUAAUUUGAUUUCAUUCUAGAAUUUCUAAAUGAACAAAGAAGAAUAACAUUUUUAAUAGAAAAAUCUCACUUUACAAGCAACAAAUAAAGUUUCCAAAUCUAGUUUUACUUCUCAAUCAAAACCACCCAAACAAGUCCUAAGUGGUCAAUAUGACUUGCACAAAGUUUUCAAACAUUAAAAUUGAACAAUUUAGUCCAAAUUAAGUAUUAAGUGGUUGGGUUGGUACAAUAGUACUCCAGUCCACUAAUCAAAUGCAAAGAGCAGUACACAACAACAUGGGAAUUCUUUAAUUUUUGUCCUUCCCAAUGCUCAGCAUAUAUAAAAGGGAACAAUAAUGUCAAAUCUUCAUCAUAUCAGAGAAUUAAAAAAAAGAGAGACUAAAAAAGAAUGGCAGAAUUGUACAUUAAGCAAGCACUAAUGUACUCAAAGGUUAGGCCAAGUUACCCUGAAGAAUUGUUCAAUUUCAUAACUCCAUAGACACCUUGUCAUGAUCUUGUUUGGGAUGUUGGCACUGGUAGUGGCUAGGGUGCUAAAUCUGUAAGUCUCUCUUUCUCCUCUCAUAUGGCUCAAUCUCAUUGACUUCUUCGUGUGUUAUUGUGGCACAAUUAAAACUUUUUGUCAUUUGCUUAUCUGAGUUAUUACUAUAUAUGUUUUAUUGGAAAAUGGUCAAACAUCGCAAUGUAUACUGCUUUUCGUCCAGUUUUUGUGACAGUAUUUUCUUAUUAGUUUUUAAGAGAUAGAACGUCACCUUUCUAUAUUUGGAUAUAUUUUAUUUUUUUAGCGUCAUCGUUCAUGGCAUUAUAACCACAUAUAUGUCGCGAUAAGUUUAACACCACAAGUACCAAAAGUCUUUUUUCUUUCUUUAUUAAAGUGUGUGACAACAAAGUCAGGUACAUAAUUGAAAUAGUGGGAGUACUUAACAAAAAAAUAAUAUGCAUCCUUUUCUCUACCAAACUACUUUUUUUCUUGUCCUAAAUGCUCUCAAAUUGUUAUUUUCCUCAGUUAGCUAAGUACUACAAGAAUGUUAUAGCCACAGACACAAGUCCAAAGCAGCUUGAAUUUGCAGCUAAGGUUCCGAAUGUUCGAUAUAUACAUACCUCUGCCAGAAUGUCAAUGUCCGAAAUCGAAAGCAAAAUAGGAGCAGAGUCAAGUGUAGAUUUGGUCACAAGUGCACAAGCAAUGCAUUGGCUUGAUCUCCCAACUUUCUAUCCACAAGUAAAAUGGCUACUCAAGAAACCAAAUGGAGUAAUAGCAGCAUGGUGUUACACUAUGCCACAAGUUAACAACUCAGUGGAUACAAUUUUUGAGAAAUUUGACAUAGUUACUGGACCUUAUUGGGAAUCUCCAAGAAAAGUGGUGGAUGAAAAGUACAAAACUAUUGAUUUUCCAUUUGAGGCUGUAGAUGGUUGUGAUCAUAAUGGACCAUCUGAGUUCAAGAUUGAGAAAGUUAUGGACUUGGAUUCUUAUUUUACAUACUUAAAGUCAUGGUCAGCUUAUCAAACUGCA